UGGGGACAUAAGUAAAUGCCAACAAAAUAACUUAGUUUGGUCAGUGUGCGUGUGAAUGCGUGCGUGUGAGUACGCGUGCGUGCGUGUAACCUUUAUUUAACUAGGCAAGUCAGUCAAGAACAAAUUCUUAUUUACAAUGACGGCCCGGACGACACUGGGCCAACUGUACGCCGCCCUAUGGGACUUCCAAUCAAGGCCGGAUGUGAUACAGCCUGGAUUUGACCAGGGACCAUCAUCAUGGCAAGCACAUAAAAUGUGCAGGUUUUGUAGCAGCUAAAACUGUUCACUUAUUUGUCAGUGACAAGUAACAUGACCAGAUGGACCAAUACAAUUACAUUUCACGCAUCUCGACAAAACUGCCCAAUCACAGCUGUGUAUGCAAACCAAAUGAUGAUCGGUAGCAGGAUUUUCUAACAGUAAAAAAAGGUAGCUACUACAUGCCAUGAAAAAAAAAGGUUUCCUAAUCAACUUGAAAAAUAAAUGGAGCCUAAUGAGAUUGAGCAGGUUCAGGAAACAAUACAGACACAAACAGAGACAGAGCCAGUGGCCGGGUCUUUUGAAGACCAUAAGGAUCCUUCCCUGGCCGCAUCUCAACACUUCAGCUUCAAGCAGAGAAGAGGAGAUCGUGUAAUUAUGGAAUGUAAGCUCUGCUUACCAAAGAUGGUGGAGGUGGCUGCCUACAAAAAAUCUGCAUCAAAUUUGAGGAAACAUGUAAUGGUUUGACAGAAUCAGCUUGACAGAAUCACACAGGACGAGACUGAGCAUCUAAGGCAGCAUUCAUCUGAUGAAGAGGACUUCUUCUCAUCACUGACAACCAAACGAUGAUCAGGUGUGACGGCUGGCCAGCCGUUGUCCCGUCAGCCUUUUACCGUGACGAUUGGAGGUGAUCCCUGUCCCCUCUUAGUGUCAGGCCGAGUGACGGGCA
rnacentral:lncRNA from 1 species